rnacentral:rRNA from 1 species
AGUCUGGAUUAUGGCUCAGAUUGAACGCUGGCGGAUGCUUUACAUGCAAGUCGAACGGCAGCACGGACUUCGGUCUGGUGGCGAGUGGCGAACGGGUGAUAAUGUAUCGGAACGCGCCUAGUAUGCAGAGCAACUACGAGCAGUAGCUAAUACCGCAUACCCUUCGGGAAAGCGGGGGACCUUUCGGGCCUCGCACUAUUAGAGCGGCCGAUAUCGGAUUAGCUAGUUGCGGGUAACGGCUCACCAAGGCGACGAUCCAGCUGGUUUGAGAGGACGACCAGCCACACUGGACUGAGACACGCCCAGACUCCUACGGGAGGCAGUGGGGAAUUUUGACACCGGGGAAAUCAAGAUCCAGCCAUCCUGGGCGUGUGCGAUGAAGGCCUUCGGGCGGUGUGUGCUGACUUUGGCAGAAGAAACGGCACGGAUAAUACCCCGUGCAACUGACGGUACCCGCAGAAUAAGCACUCCAUUAACCACGCCAGCAGCCGCGGUAAUGAGUAGCGUUUAACGGAAUUACUGGGCGUAAAGGCGUGGAAAAGUGUUCAAGAAAGAUGUGAAAUCCCAGAGCUGAUCCUUUGGGAACUGCAUUUUUAACUACCGAGCCAGAGUGCCGAGGAGGUGGAAUUCCGCGUGUAGCAGUGAAAUGCGGAUAUGUGAGGAACACCGACAUGAAGGCAGCUCUGAAACACUGACGCUCAUGCACAACAGCGUGGGGAUAAACAGGAUUAGAUACCCUGGUAGUCCACGCCCUCUAAACCGGGGACAACUAGCUGUUGGGGCCUUCGGCCUUGGUAGCGCAGCUAAUUCGCGUGAAGUUGACCGCUCAGAGGCUGGUCGCAAAGAUUAAACCUUCAAAGGAAUUGACGGGGACCCGCACAAGCGGUGGAUGAUGUGGAUUAAUUGAUAAUCGUUGAAAACCUUACCUACUCCUUGACAUGUUCAAACUCAGAGACGGGAGUGCUCGCAAGAGAACCGGAACACAGGUGCUGUACGGCUGUCGUCAGCUCGGCAAGUCGAGAUGUUGUACGCUAAGUCCACAACGAGCGCAACCCUGGGUCAUUAGUUGCUACGAAAGGGCACUCUAAUGAGACUGCCGGUGACAAACCGAGGAAGGUGGGGAUGACGUCAAGUCCUCAUGGCCCUUAUGGGUAGGGCUUCACACGCUACACAAUGGUCGGGACAGAGGGUCGCCAACCCGCGAGGAGCUAAUCCUGCGCAGAAACCCGAUCAGUCCGGAUCGCAGGUUCAAACCGACCGCGCGGUGUCGAACGCGCGCAAUCAUGGAUCAGGCGAUGUCGCGGUGAAUACGUUCCCGGGUCUGGUGGCGACGGUCUGCCCGUCACACCAUGGGAGGAUACCAGAAGUUUAGUUAGCCUUAACCGUAAGGAGGUGGCGAUUACCACGGUAGGAUUCAUGACUGGGGUGAAGUCGUACUGCUGCAA